GCGGGUACAGCUCAGUGGUAUAGCGCCUGCUUGGCAUGCACGAGGUGCUAGGUUCAAUCCCCAGUUCCUCCA
rnacentral:tRNA from 1 species